GGCUCAGUAGUCUAGAGGUUAAGCGUUCAUCUGCGAGAUGAAGGUCCCGAGUUCGAAUCUCGCAGGGCAGGGUC
rnacentral:tRNA from 1 species